UACGUAGGGGGCAAGCGUUGUCCGGAUUUAUUGGGCGUAAAGGGCGCGUAGGCGGCCUUCUAAGUCGAACGUGAAAUCCCCGGGCUCAACCCGGGAACUGCGUCCGAUACUGGAAGGCUUGAAUCCGGGAGAGGGAUGCGGAAUUCCAGGUGUAGCGGUGAAAUGCGUAGAUAUCUGGAGGAACACCUGUGGCGAAGGCGGCUUUCUGGGCCUUACCUGACGCUGAGACGCGAAAGCGUGGGGAGCGAACCGG
rnacentral:rRNA from 1 species